GACGAACGCUGGCGGCGUGCCUAAUACAUGCAAGUUGAGCGCUGAAGGUUGGUACUUGUACCAACUGGAUGAGCAGCGAACGGGUGAGUAACGCGUGGGGAAUCUGCCUUUGAGCGGGGGACAACAUUUGGAAACGAAUGCUAAUACCGCAUAAAAACUUUAAACACAAGUUUUAAGUUUGAAAGAUGCAAUUGCAUCACUCAAAGAUGAUCCCGCGUUGUAUUAGCUAGUUGGUGAGGUAAAGGCUCACCAAGGCGAUGAUACAUAGCCGACCUGAGAGGGUGAUCGGCCACAUUGGGACUGAGACACGGCCCAAACUCCUACGGGAGGCAGCAGUAGGGAAUCUUCGGCAAGGGACGAAAGUCUGACCGAGCAACGCCGCGUGAGGGAAGAAGGUUUUCGGAUCGUAAAACUCGGUUGGUAGAGAAGAACGUUGGUGAGAGUGGAAAGCUCAUCAAGUGACGGUAACUACCCAGAAAGGGACGGCUAACUACGUG
rnacentral:rRNA from 1 species